UACGUAGGGUGCAAGCGUUAAUCGGAAUUACUGGGCGUAAAGCGUGCGCAGGCGGUUAUGUAAGACAGAUGGUGAAAUGCCCGGGCUUAACCUGGGAACUGCAUUUGUGACUGCAUGGCUAGAGUUUGGCAGAGGGGGGUAGAAUUCCACGUGUAGCAGUGAAAUGCGUAGAUAUGUGGAGGAACACCGAUGGCGAAGGCAGCCCCCUGGGUCAAGACUGACGCUCAUGCACGAAAGCGUGGGGAGCAAACAGG
rnacentral:rRNA from 1 species